rnacentral:rRNA from 1 species
GCGCGAAAACUUUACAAUGCUGGCAACAGCGAUAAGGGGACACCGAGUGCCAGCGUCAUACGCUGGCUGUCCGGGUGUGUAAAAUACACCUGUUAGCAAGGGCCGGGCAAGACCGGUUCCAGCCGCCGCGGUAACACCGGCGGCCCGAGUGGUGAUCGUGAUUAUUGGGUCUAAAGGGUCCGUAGCCGGUUUGGUCAGUCCUCCGGGAAAUCUGACAGCUCAACUGUUAGGCUUUCGGGGGAUACUGCCAGACUUGGAACCGGGAGAGGUAAGAGGUACUACAGGGGUAGGAGUGAAAUCUUGUAAUCCCUGUGGGACCACCUGUGGCGAGGGCGUCUUACCAGAACGGGUUAGACGGUGAGGGACGAAAGCUGGGGGCACGAACC